UACGUAGGGGGCAAGCGUUGUCCGGAUUUAUUGAGCGUAAAGAGCGUGUAGGCGGCCACACAGGUCAGCUGUGAAAACUCGAGGCUCAACCUCGAGACGUCGGUUGAAACCGUAUGGCUAGAGUCCGGAAGAGGAGAGUGGAAUUCCCGGUGUAGCGGUGAAAUGCGCAGAUAUCGGGAAGAACACCCGUGGCGAAGGCGGCUCUCUGGGACGGUACUGACGCUGAGACGCGAAAGCGUGGGGAGCGAACAGG
rnacentral:rRNA from 1 species